CUGUGGUAAGAAUGAUGAAUAAAAUGGAUUUGUGAAGGGAUAAUAUCCCUUGUGAUCUUAACUCCUUUAUGCUUAUUGAUAUUCUGACUUGCCGCUU